GAAUAAGAAAGAUCCCCUGGAGAAGGAAAUGGCAACCCACUCCAGUAUUCAUACCUGAGAAAUCCUAUGGACAGAGGAGCCUGGUGCGCCAUAAUCCGUGGAGUGGCAGAGUGACCGGAGCGACCAAACAACACCUCUCCUUAGGGACACUAUGCUUACAGCUGUGACACUGGCGUUGCUGUGACCAGGAAUUUGAGUGGAUCCUGCCUGCUAUUCAUCACCGUGAGAUAGCAGAUACAACGGCAAGCAUGUGGGAUUUGAAAACGGACUGCCCGGCUCCAAGUCCAGCCUCUGUCACUUAUCAGCUAUGACCUUAGUGGGAACUGCCCGACCAUGGUCUCUGUUUUCCAGCCCCUUUUGCAUCCAGAUGCAAAGACAACUUUUUACCACUGAGAAACGUGUCACUUCCAGACCAGGGUCCCUGAGCCACCUCAAAGAGGAAAACCGCCAGUGAGCAGGAACGCCCGCGAUGGACUGUUAGGGGAGGGGAUGGCAGACUGCGAUUGUGUUAAACCCCUGAAAAGACACUCCUGUGAUGAGACCCCUGCAAGGCUUUUGGUUCUCAGACAUCUAAGAGGGAAGAAGACAACUGUGUGUCUCAUGUUUUCAUCCACCUGGAAAGGAGGGGAGAACUGACUCCACAUUGGAUCUGCCUCUUUACGUUAACCUUUGCUUCUUGUGGCCUUGUUUGCUGAAAGGACACUGUUUUUACAUAAUGGUCUGCCUUGGGGAACCCUGCCCCUCUGCCUGAAUAUCAAGGCUCCUUUGCUCAGGACCCUAUCCACCUGUGGAUAGCUACAGGAAGGAAGAAGUUAACACACCCCCUCGCAGAAGCUUGCCACUCUAGGACGUGUUUGCAAGAUUAAUGGCCUUUUUACUUUGCUUCCUCACCUCUCCUUCUCACCCUUGUUCUGUACAAGAGCCUGGCUUCCAGACCCAGACAAGAUGGUUAUUUUGAGACAUUAGUCUGCCAUCUUCUCGGGGCCAGCUUUCCAAAUAAAGUUGUAUUCCUUCCCUC
ensembl:lncRNA